UCAGGAUGAACGCUAGCUACAGGCUUAACACAUGCAAGUCGAGGGGCAGCAUUUCAGUUUGCUUGCAAACUGGAGAUGGCGACCGGCGCACGGGUGAGUAACACGUAUCCAACCUGCCGAUAACUCGGGGAUAGCCUUUCGAAAGAAAGAUUAAUACCCGAUGGUAUAAUCAGACCGCAUGGUCUUGUUAUUAAAGAAUUUCGGUUAUCGAUGGGGAUGCGUUCCAUUAGGCAGUUGGUGAGGUAACGGCUCACCAAACCUUCGAUGGAUAGGGGUUCUGAGAGGAAGGUCCCCCACAUUGGAACUGAGACACGGUCCAAACUCCUACGGGAGGCAGCAGUGAGGAAUAUUGGUCAAUGGGCGCAGGCCUGAACCAGCCAAGUAGCGUGAAGGAUGACUGCCCUAUGGGUUGUAAACUUCUUUUAUAUGGGAAUAAAGUUUUCCACGUGUGGAAUUUUGUAUGUACCAUAUGAAUAAGGAUCGGCUAACUCCGUGCCAGCAGCCGCGGUAAUACGGAGGAUCCGAGCGUUAUCCGGAUUUAUUGGGUUUAAAGGGAGCGUAGGUGGACAGUUAAGUCAGUUGUGAAAGUUUGCGGCUCAACCGUAAAAUUGCAGUUGAUACUGGCUGUCUUGAGUACAGUAGAGGUGGGCGGAAUUCGUGGUGUAGCGGUGAAAUGCUUAGAUAUCACGAAGAACUCCGAUUGCGAAGGCAGCUCACUGGACUGCAACUGACACUGAUGCUCGAAAGUGUGGGUAUCAAACAGGAUUAGAUACCCUGGUAGUCCACACAGUAAACGAUGAAUACUCGCUGUUUGCGAUAUACAGUAAGCGGCCAAGCGAAAGCAUUAAGUAUUCCACCUGGGGAGUACGCCGGCAACGGUGAAACUCAAAGGAAUUGACGGGGGCCCGCACAAGCGGAGGAACAUGUGGUUUAAUUCGAUGAUACGCGAGGAACCUUACCCGGGCUUAAAUUGCAUUUGAAUAUAUUGGAAACAGUAUAGCCGUAAGGCAAAUGUGAAGGUGCUGCAUGGUUGUCGUCAGCUCGUGCCGUGAGGUGUCGGCUUAAGUGCCAUAACGAGCGCAACCCUUAUCUUUAGUUACUAACAGGUCAUGCUGAGGACUCUAGAGAGACUGCCGUCGUAAGAUGUGAGGAAGGUGGGGAUGACGUCAAAUCAGCACGGCCCUUACGUCCGGGGCUACACACGUGUUACAAUGGGGGGUACAGAAGGCAGCUACCUGGUGACAGGAUGCUAAUCCCAAAAGCCUCUCUCAGUUCGGAUCGAAGUCUGCAACCCGACUUCGUGAAGCUGGAUUCGCUAGUAAUCGCGCAUCAGCCAUGGCGCGGUGAAUACGUUCCCGGGCCUUGUACACACCGCCCGUCAAGCCAUGAAAGCCGGGGGUACCUGAAGUACGUAACCGCAAGGAGCGUCCUAGGGUAAAACUGGUAAUUGGGGCUAAGUCU
rnacentral:rRNA from 1 species